AACGAACGCUGGCGGCAUGCUUAACACAUGCCAGUCGAACGGGACCGUCGGGUCUAGUGGCGCAGGGGUGCGUAACGCGGGGGGACCUGCCCGUAGGUUCGGAAUAACUCCCCGAAAGGGAUGCUAAUACCGGAGAAGGUCUUCGGGCCAAAGAUUUAUCGCGUUUGGGUGGGCGCGGGUUGGAUUAGCUGGUUGGUAGGGGAAAAGCCUACCAAGGGGACGAUGCAGAGCUGGUCGGAGAGGAUGAGCCGCCACGCUGGGACUGAGACACGGACCAGAAUCGUACGCGAGGCAGCAGAGGGGAAUAUUGGACAAGGGGGGAAAGCGUGACACCGCAAUGCCGCGUGAGUGAUGCAGGCCUUAGGGUUGUAAAGCUCUUUUAGCCGGGAUGAUAAUGACAGUACCGGGAGAAUAAGCACCGGCUAACUACGUG
rnacentral:rRNA from 1 species